GCGGGGACGGACAAUUAAGUCUAAGCGCGAUAGAAAGUAUUUCUACGACUCUGAAAUUUUGGAUCGGGUCCCUAAUUUUUUCUGCUACUGGGAGCUGUGCAAGGAGGUAUUAUAUUUAUUGGACUACUUCUGUACCAGGAACCUCCAUCAGAGACACCCGAGGUAGAACAUACAUCUGAGAGACCAAUCAGGGUGGCUAAUAACUCUUCUGCAUUAAUCAAAAGAGGAUCGGAUCCUGAAGACAAGGACGAUAUGUUAAUGUUCCAAGAAGACACUUCUGUGAUAUCAGAAGGAAGUUCUACCGAUUCGAAUAUAGAAGAAGCACAGCCAU